AAAAACUGAAAUAAUAUCAUCGGACAAUUCAUAUACUAUAAGCAGAGCAGAUUCAUGCUCGCAGAGCGCCGCAUAUUCAACCAACCAACCGAAAUCGUCUAAUUUCUUCCGCUCUGGUCUCCAUCAUCUAUUUUUCUACACAUACACAUACACACAAAACUCACUUGUUUCUUCUAUCGCUUCUUUCCCAAUGUCUUGUCUUUUUU
ensembl:ncRNA C54D2.10 ncRNA